rnacentral:misc_RNA from 1 species
UCCUAGCCCUGAUCGAAGCAUUUGUCUGAGCUCAUUUUUCGGGUUUGGGGUUCGGCGGCAAAGCCGCCGAACCCCAAACCCGAAAAAUAGCGAGUGCGGAGAGCAGGAAAUAGC